GACGAACGCUGGCGGCGUGCUUAACACAUGCAAGUCGAACGGAAAGGCCCUGCUUUUGUGGGGUGCUCGUGUGGCGAACGGGUGAGUAACACGUGAGUAACCUGCCCUUGACUUUGGGAUAACUUCUGGAAACUGGGGCUCAUACCGCAUAGGAGAUUCUGCUGCAUGGUGGGGGUUGGAAAGUUUCGGCGGUUGGGGAUGGACUCGCGGCUUAUCAGCUUGUUGGUGGGGUAGUGGCUUACCAAGGCUUUGACGGGUAGGCGGCCUGGGAGGGGGAACAGGGACAAGAGGACUGAGGUACGGCGCAGAAGGGAACGGGAGGCAAUAGUGGGGAAUAUUGCAGAAUGGGCGGAAGCCUGAUGCAGCAACGUCGCGUGCGGGAUGACGUGCUUCGGGUGGUGAACCGCUUUCGCCUGUGAUGAAGCGUGAGUGACGGUAAUGAGUAAAGAAGCACCGGCUAACUACGUG
rnacentral:rRNA from 1 species